UGCUUUACACAUGCAAGUCGAACGGCAGCAUGACCUAGCUUGCUAGUUUGAUGGCGAGUGGCGAACGGGUGAGUAAUGUAUCGGAACGUAUCCAAUAAUGGGGGAUAACGCAUCGAAAGGUGUGCUAAUACCGCAUACGCCCUGAGGGGGAAAGUGGGGGACCGUAAGGCCUCACGUUAAUGGAGCGGCCGAUGUCUGAUUAGCUAGUUGGUGAGGUAAAGGCUCACCAAGGCGACGAUCAGUAGCUGGUCUGAGAGGAUGAUCAGCCACACUGGGACUGAGACACGGCCCAGACUCCUACGGGAGGCAGCAGUGGGGAAUUUUGGACAAUGGGCGCAAGCCUGAUCCAGCCAUGCCGCGUGAGUGAAGAAGGCCUUCGGGUUGUAAAGCUC
rnacentral:rRNA from 1 species